UAGAUACCGCGAAAUCAACUUAGCUCAAUACAAGAUAUUACAAGACAUUUCGAAAUGACGGAUAACGUUACUUUUACAAGUUUUUUACGAAUGCAGGUCGGUCGGGUAGUAUACGUAUACUAAUCUGUAAUAAAUAAAAGAGUUCAAAUUCCAUCUGAGCCAUAAAGGAAAAAAACUAAAUUGUUUAAUACAAACAUAA